CAGCCCGUAUUACAAAGUCCUCUGCCUCUACAAAAUCAUGGAGGGACUGCUAGGUCCGCUCCGAACUUCUGUCCAGCGCCGGGCGAGAGCCGCGAAAGUGGACCUCGGGACACCGAAGGCUACAGUUCCAGAUCACCCCGGAAUACCUCAUGGACUUCGCGCGC
rnacentral:misc_RNA from 1 species